rnacentral:rRNA from 1 species
GGGAAUCUACCCAGAUCUACGGAACAACAGAGGGAAACUUCUGCUAAUACCGUAUACGCCCUACGGGGGAAAGAUUUAUCGGAUUUGGAUGAGCCCGCGUAAGAUUAGCUAGUUGGUGAGGUAAUGGCUCACCAAGGCGACGAUCUUUAGCUGGUCUGAGAGGAUGAUCAGCCACACUGGGACUGAGACACGGCCCAGACUCCUACGGGAGGCAGCAGUGGGGAAUAUUGGACAAUGGGCGCAAGCCUGAUCCAGCCAUGCCGCGUGAGUGAUGAAGGUCUUAGGGUUGUAAAGCUCUUUCAGUGGGGAAGAUAAUGACGGUACCCACAGAAGAAGCCCCGGCUAACUUCGUGCCAGCAGCCGCGGUAAUACGAAGGGGGCUAGCGUUGUUCGGAUUUACUGGGCGUAAAGCGCACGUAGGCGGUUUGUUAAGUCAGAGGUGAAAUCCUGGAGCUCAACUCCAGAACUGCCUUUGAUACUGGCAAGCUCGAGUCCGGAAGAGGUAAGUGGAACUCCUAGU